rnacentral:lncRNA from 1 species
GGCUUUGCACAAGCUCGCACGGGCCUCUACAGGCUCGCAGAGGCCUGCUACGGGCUUGUGUGGGCUCGCACGGGCGCGCACGGGCUCGCAAAAGUUCGCACGGGCCUCUACGGGCUCGCAGAGGCCUCCUACGUGCUCGUGCGGGCUCGCACGGGCGCGCACAGGCUUGCACAAGCUCGCACGGCCCCCUACGGGCUCGUACGGGCUGGCAGGGGCUGACACGGGCUUGCACAAGCUCGCACGGGCCUCUACGGGCUUGCAGAGGCCUCCUACGGGCUCGUAUGGGCUCGCACGGGCUUGCACAAGCUCGCACGGGCCUCUACGGGCUCGCAGAGGCCUCCUACGGGCUCGUAUGGGCUCGCACGGGCGCGCACGGGCUCGCACAAGCUCGCACAAGCUCGCACGGGCCUCUACGGGCUCGCAGAGGCCUCCUACGGGCUCGUAUGGGCUCGCACGGGCUGACACAGGCUUGCAAAAGCUCGCACGGGCCUCUACGGGCUCGCAGAGGCCUCCUACGGGCUCCUACGGGCUCAUGCGGGCUCGUACGGGCUGACACGAGCUCGCCCAAGCUCACACGGGCCUCUACGGGCUCGCAGAGGCCUCCUACGGGCUCGUACGGGCUCGCACGGGCUCGCACGGGCGCGCACAGAAUGACAAGGGCUCGCUCAAGCUCGCACGUGCCUCUACGGCCUCGCAGAGGCCUCCU